UACGGAGGGUGCAAGCGUUGUUCGGAAUUACUGGGCGUAAAGCGCGCGUAGGCGGCUUUUUAAGUCAGAUGUGAAAGUCCAUGGCUCAACCAUGGAAGUGCAUUUGAAACUGGGGAGCUUGAGUACUGGAGGGGGUAGUGGAAUUCCCGGUGUAGAGGUGAAAUUCGUAGAGAUCGGGAGGAAUACCGGUGGCGAAGGCGACUACCUGGCCAGAUACUGACGCUGAGGUGCGAAAGCGUGGGGAGCAAACAGGAUUAGAUACCCGCGUA
rnacentral:rRNA from 1 species